UACGUAGGGGCCAAGCGUUGUCCGGAUUUAUUGGGCGUAAAGAGCUCGUAGGCGGUUCGGCAAGUCAGCUGUGAAAUCUCCACGCUCAACGUGGAGGGGUCAGCUGAUACUGCUGUGACUUGAGUCCGGUAGGGGAGUGUGGAAUUCCUGGUGUAGCGGUGAAAUGCGUAGAGAUCAGGAAGAACACCGGUGGCGAAGGCGCUCUGCUAGGCCGCAACUGACACUGAGGGACGAAAGCUAGGGGAGCGAAUGGG
rnacentral:rRNA from 1 species